CCUACGGGGGACAGCAGUGGGGAAUAUUGGGCAAUGGGCGCAAGCCUGACCCAGCAACGCCGCGUGAAGGAAGAAGGCUUUCGGGUUGUAAACUUCUUUUAAGAGGGAAGAGCAGAAGACGGUACCUCUUGAAUAAGCCACGGCUAACUCCGUGCCAGCAGCCGCGGUAAUACGUAGGUGGCAAGCGUUGUCCGGAUUCACUGGGUGUAAAGGGCGUGUAGCCGGGCUGACAAGUCAGAUGUGAAAUUCCGGGGCUCAACCCCGGACCUGCAUUUGAAACUGUUGGUCUUGAGUAGCGGUGAGGCAGGUGGAAUGUCUAGUGUAGCGGGGAAAUGCGUAGAUAUUAGGAGGAACACCAGUGGCGAAGGCGGCCUGCUGGACGACAACUGACGGUGAGGCGCGAAAGCGUGGGGAGCAAACAGGAUUAGAUACCCGAGUAGUC
rnacentral:rRNA from 1 species